rnacentral:rRNA from 1 species
UACGAAGGGGGCUAGCGUUGCUCGGAAUCACUGGGCGUAAAGCGCACGUAGGCGGAUCUUUAAGUCAGGGGUGAAAUCCUGGAGCUCAACUCCAGAACUGCCUUUGAUACUGGGGACCUCGAGUCCGGGAGAGGUGAGUGGAACUCCGAGUGUAGAGGUGAAAUUCGUAGAUAUUCGGAAGAACACCAGUGGCGAAGGCGGCUCACUGGCCCGGUACUGACGCUGAGGUGCGAAAGCGUGGGGAGCAAACAGG